rnacentral:rRNA from 1 species
UACGGGGGGGGCAAGCGUUGUUCGGAAUUACUGGGCGUAAAGGGCUCGUAGGUGGCCAACUAAGUCAGACGUGAAAUUCCUCGGCUUAACCGGGGAACUGCGUCUGAUACUGGAUGGCUUGAGUUUGGGAGAGGGAUGCGGAAUUCCAGGUGUAGCGGUGAAAUGCGUAGAGAUGUGGAGGAACACCAGUGGCGAAGGCGGCUUUUUGGUCUGUAACUGACGCUGAGGCGCGAAAGCGUGGGGAGCAAACAGG